UGCUUCCGGAUGAGUCCACAAUAAGACUAGCGAUUUCCACGGGCCCGAGGUCCCUGUUGUCCUGUUGCUGUGAAAUGAGUUCGUUGGUCCGAAGCAAUGUUGGGUGGAAUGCCGUGUGGCAUAGAGGGCACCCCGUAAGUCCAGAGAUGGCAAAGAAGACGAGUAAAUAUCAAGAACACUGACUUAACCAAAAAUAGGGGGAGAAUUAUGCUGGGAGAGAGACGGGAGAGAAGUGGUGGAGGGACAGGGUGGGGUGGAUUGUAAGAAUGAUAAAUCUUCAUCUUCCAUCACAGUAAGUCAAAGAUGGUGUCGAAAAUGGUGAAAUCAAGAACUAGUGCUUAGAAUUAUGGAGAUUUAAAAACAGAAGAAACACUUCCCAGAGUUGCAAGUGGUUGCCUGUCCCAGAGAGCUGGUGAGAUGAGGUGGAGAGGCGGCAGCUGAGUUUUAUGGUGAGGAAGUGGAGUUCGGAGAUGUCAUCGGCCCAGGUCACACAGAUGGUGGAGACCAGUGUGGACCCCCGGAGUUGGCUGAGCGUCUGGACUUUGAGCUUCCAUCAGACCCCGAGAUAGUCACCUGUCCUGGCAGCCUGGUGACCCUGGUGUGCUAACUUGGCACUUAUCUUGCUCUAUGGAAGUCCCUGGGCCCCCUAAACACCAGGUGGGUGCCUUCAGCCAGCCCCAUACUAGCCUAUGAAGCCCAGGCAUUGCUGGCCAACCAACCCCACUCACAGACAGAAGCAGUUCUCCGUCUUUUGGCUUUAACAGAUCUGCUUCAUUUCUCCUCCCCACAAAGCCUGGACUUUGUUCUGGGGGUAUCCCUGUUUGCAGUGAAGCUUUUCCACUCAGUGCUCAAUCUGAUCCCCACCCCACCCCACAUCUCUGACUGGGUAGACCUUUGUGACUGCCUUGACCAGUAGAGUAUGGCAGAAGAUGCUCUGUAACUUCCCAGGCUAGAUCUAGAAAAUGCCAUGCAUUUCUGCCUUGCUCUCCUGGGACAUCCACUCUUAGAACCCAGCUGCUGUGCUAAAGAGAACUGACAGACCACGUGGAGUGGAGCAGAUGGGUCAGUGUCCCAGAUGACAGCCCGUGUCGGCCUCAGACCUGCACAUGAGGAUGCCCACCAGAGGGUUCCUGCCACCACUGUCAAGUCACCCCAGCCUUCAUCUUCCAGCCGGCGCCUCAGGCAUUAGGGGCAGAGAUGGGGAAACUGAGGCUCAGGGAGGAACUGUGAACUACUUGAAGUCACAAAGCUGCAAAACGGUAGGGCCUAGAUUUUUCUGUCUCUACCAAAGCACAUGGUGAUGCAUAUAGGCUAUGCAAGUUAUUUCCUCUUCCUCUUUCCUCAUCUCCCUCUCAUCUUCCUCCUCUUCAUCCUCCAACUUUUCCUCCUUCACCAAUCCCCCCAUUUGCUGUAGUUUCAUAUCUCUACCACCAGAUGGCGCCAAAGGACCAACUGCAGAGUCCAGGUUGGGCUCUAAGGCCCGGGAGGAGGCGGGCCUGGCGGGGUGGUCAGGGUUUCUGGGCUUUGGGGAGGGAUGCAGGGGAAAGCUGCUGGUGACCAUCCUGAGUCCUGUCCAGUAGACAUGGCAGAGGCAACUGUCCAGUG